CGCGGCCUAUCAGCUUGUUGGUGAGGUAACGGCUCACCAAGGCAUCGACGGGUAGCUGGUCUGAGAGGACGAUCAGCCACACUGGGACUGAGACACGGCCCAGACUCCUACGGGAGGCAGCAGUAGGGAAUCUUGCGCAAUGGGCGAAAGCCUGACGCAGCAACGCCGCGUGGGGGAUGAAUGCCUUCGGGUUGUAAACCCCUUUCAGCAGGGACGAAAAUGACGGUACCUGCAGAAGAAGCUCCGGCCAACUACGUGCCAGCAGGCGCGGUAAUACGUAGGGAGCGAGCGUUGUCCGGAAUUAUUGGGCGUAAAGAGCUCGUAGGCGGUUCAGUAAGUCGGGUGUGAAAACUCAAGGCUCAACCUUGAGACGCCACUCGAUACUGCUGUGACUUGAGUCCGGUAGAGGAGUGUGGAAUUCCUGGUGUAGCGGUGAAAUGCGCAGAUAUCAGGAGGAACACCAGCGGCGAAGGCGGCACUCUGGGCCGGUACUGACGCUGAGGAGCGAAAGCAUGGGGAGCAAACAGGAUUAGAUACCCUGGUAGUCCAUGCCGUAAACGUUGGGCACUAGGUAUGGGAUCAUAUCAACGGAUUCCGUGCCGUAGCUAACGCAUUAAGUGCCCCGCCUGGGGAGUACGG
rnacentral:rRNA from 1 species